rnacentral:rRNA from 1 species
UACAGAGGUCCCAAGCGUUGUUCGGAUUCACUGGGCGUAAAGGGUGCGUAGGUGGUGAGGUAAGUCGGAUGUGAAAUCUCCAAGCUCAACUUGGAAACUGCAUUGGAAACUACCUUGCUUGAGGGUUUGAGGGGGGAUUGGAAUACUUGGUGUAGCAGUGAAAUGCGUAGAUAUCAAGUGGAACACCGGUGGCGAAGGCGACUCCCUGGAAAAUACCUGACGCUGAGGCGCGAGAGCUAGGGGAGCAAACAGG